CCACCAGCCAGUUCUCAAGCCCCAACUGGCCUAGGUCCUAGAACUGCAACCAGGCGACCCUCCCUCCACAUGAGCCCUCGACCUCGAACCUCGGUCACUGCACUUAACAUGGCGGCCAAGCUCCCGUCUUCUGGACCGCAAGAUAAGCGCAGACCCCGCAAGGGGUAAGUGCGCCUUGGAAGCAGAGACCCUGCACUCCCCGCCGGGAACCAGGCCCGGGUCGCCCGAGUGCGCGCGGCCCCGCCCGGGUGGCUGCGGCGAGCAGGGCAAUGACACAGCAACUUUAGAGGCCUCUCCCCUCCCCCUGGCGGCCCGGCCUCCAAACUGGAUUUUCCGCACCUGGGCCUGGCGGGUCCGGGCCGAAGCCCGACGGGGGUGGGGUGGGGGUGGGGAGAGAACUCGGGG
rnacentral:lncRNA from 1 species